UCGGGGGACAGGGUGACAGGUGGUGCAUGGUUGUCGUCAGCUCGUGUCGUGAGAUGUUGGGUUAAGUCCCGCAACGAGCGCAACCCUCGACCUUAGUUGCCAGCAUUCAGUUGGGCACUCUAAAGAGACUGCCGGUGUUAAACCGGAGGAAGGUGGGGAUGACGUCAAGUCCUCAUGGCCUUUAUGCUUAGGGCUACACACGUGCUACAAUGGGUGGUACAAAGAGAAGCCAACUCGCGAGAGCGCGCCAAUCUCAAAAAGCCAUCCUCAGUUCGGAUUGGAGUCUGCAACUCGACUCCAUGAAGUUGGAAUCGCUAGUAAUCGCGCAUCAGCAUGGCGCGGUGAAUACGUUCCCGGGCCUU
rnacentral:rRNA from 1 species